rnacentral:misc_RNA from 1 species
GUAUUGGGCUUUGUGUUGCUUAUUAUCUUCUUUUUGAUACGAUUUUAUUAAACAUUUAAACUGUAUGUGAGAUUAAACUUGUUUGUUUUGACCUGUCAAUGACUUCUCAUGACCCUGGGAUAGUAUGAUGAGAUUCCGACUAUUAUCAAGAUGUGAUAACAAAUAAAUCAAUUUUAAUGAGUAGCAGUUGUCUUCUGCUCCAGAUUAUUGGUUCUAUAUAGGAAGCUUUAACAAUGUUUGCUAUUUAUUUGCAAUUUUAUUCUUCUCUGGUUGUCUGAAUAAAGUUCUCUAUUUUUUUUUGCAGGGGCUGUAACAGGAUCUGGGG